rnacentral:rRNA from 1 species
ACAUCGGGAGAAGUCUUGGUGGCAUUAUGUGAAGUCCCCUGCGGAUGGUGAUAAAGACAGUCGCAGAUACCAGCGGGCUGCAUUUGUUUAUUAAAAACAGAGUUUUGUGCAAACACGAAAGUGGACGUAUACGGUGUGACGCCUGCCAGGUGUUGGAAGGUUAAUUGAUGGGGUUAUCCGUAAGGAGAAGCUCUUGAUCGAAGCCCCAGUAAACGGCGGCCGUAACUAUAACGGUCCUAAGGUAGCGAAAUUCCUUGUCGGGUAAGUUCCGACCUGCACGAAUGGCGUAAUGAUGGCCAGGCUGUCUCCACCCGAGACUCAGUGAAAUUGAACUCGCUGUGAAGAUGCAGUGUACCCGCGGCAAGACGGAAAGACCCCGUGAACCUUUACUAUAGCUUGACACUGAACAUUGAGCCUUGAUGUGUAGGAUAGGUGGGAGGCUUUGAAGUGUGGACGCCAGUCUGCAUGGAGCCAACCUUGAAAUACCACCCUUUAAUGUUUGAUGUUCUAACGUCGUCCCGUUAUCCGGGAUGCGGACAGUGUCUGGUGGGUAGUUUGACUGGGGCGGUCUCCUCCCAAAGCGUAACGGAGGAGCACGAAGGUUGGCUAAGCAUGGUCGGACAUCAUGCGGUUAGUGCAAAGGCAUAAGCCAGCUUGACUGCGAGAGUGACAACUCGAGCAGGUACGAAAGUAGGUCUUAGUGAUCCGGUGGUUCUGAAUGGAAGGGCCAUCGCUCAACGGAUAAAAGGUACUCCGGGGAUAACAGGCUGAUACCGCCCAAGAGUUCAUAUCGACGGCGGUGUUUGGCACCUCGAUGUCGGCUCAUCACAUCCUGGGGCUGAAGUAGGUCCCAAGGGUAUGGCUGUUCGCCAUUUAAAGUGGUACGCGAGCUGGGUUUAGAACGUCGUGAGACAGUUCGGUCCCUAUCUGCCGUGGGCGUUGGAAGAUUGAAAGGGGCUGCUCCUAGUACGAGAGGACCGGAGUGGACGCACCACUGGUGUUCGGGUUGUCAUGCCAAUGGCAUUGCCCGGUAGCUAAGUGCGGAAGAGAUAACCGCUGAAAGCAUCUAAGCGGGAAACUUGCCUUGAGAUGAGUCUUCCCUGACUCUUUAAGAGUCCUAAAGGAACGUUUAAGACUAAGACGUUGAUAGGUUGGGUGUGUAAGCGUAGCGAUACGUUGAGCUAACCAAUACUAAUGAACCGUGAGGCUUAACCU